AUUGAACGCUGGCGGCAGGCCUAACACAUGCAAGUCGAACGGUAACAGGAAGAAGCUUGCUUCUUUGCUGACGAGUGGCGGGCGGGUGUGAAAUGUCUGGGAAACUGCCUGAUGGAGGGGGAUACCUACUGGAACCGGUAGCUAAUACGGCAUAACGUCGCAAGACCAAAGAGGGGGACCUUCGGGCCUCUUGCCAUCGGAUGUGCCCCGAUGGGAUUAGCUAGUAGGUGGGGUUACGGCUCACCUAGGCGACGAUCCCUAGCUGGUCUGAGAGGAUGACCCGCCCCACUGGAACUGGGAACCCGUCCCGACUUCUACGGGAGGCAGGAGGGGGGAAUAUUGCCCAAUUGGGCCAAACCUGAUCCAGGCAACGCGCGUGUAUGAAGAAGGCCUUCCGGUUCUUAAGUACUUUCAGCGGGGAGGAAGGGAGUAAAGUUAAUACCUUUCCUAAUUGACGUUACCCGAAGCAGAAGCACCGGCUAACUCCGUU
rnacentral:rRNA from 1 species